rnacentral:rRNA from 1 species
UGGCGGACGGGUGAGUAACGCGUGGGUAACCUGCCUCAUACAGGGGGAUAACAGUUAGAAAUGGCUGCUAAUACCGCAUAAGACCACAGCACCGCAUGGUGCAGGGGUAAAAACUCCGGUGGUAUGAGAUGGACCCGCGUCUGAUUAGGUAGUUGGUGGGGUAACGGCCUACCAAGCCGACGAUCAGUAGCCGACCUGAGAGGGUGACCGGCCACAUUGGGACUGAGACACGGCCCAG